UUCCUAGUUACCUGUGUUAUAUCAGUGGUGCCCCCCCAGCCUGUGGAGGUCUUUGGGCCUCGUGGUGUGGUUCUUUAUGUCGUUUGCGGUUGGGAAGUAGCAGAGGUUAUGUCUCUCUGGGACCUCCUCUGAUUUAAACAUUUCCCGUCUCCACAAACCGCCUGGAGGGAUAGGAAACAAGAAGGACAGAAGACAGGUUAACACCAGGGACAGUGGUAAUACAGGGACCAUGAUAGAGGUUAACACCAGGGACAGUAGUAAUACAGGGGACCAUGUGAGGUUAGCACCAGGGACAGUGGUAAUACAGG
rnacentral:lncRNA from 1 species